AUUACUUUUCUUAUCACAAUGUAAGGGAUCUGCAAUAUAUACAAAUUUGAUAUGAUUCUGACACCCUAAAAUUCUUAUGGAAUAUGUUCAAUAUGUGCAAGUGAGUAACCAGAAUAAUAGAACAAUGUUGGUGUCCACACUUCUUCUAACUUUUUGCUAGACAGUAAAUAUAGAGAGAGGCAAAUAGCAGCUGCCGCCAAUUCCGACGGCUUGUAAUGGGCCAUUGAGUAUUCUACCAGAGAUAGAUCAACAAAAUAUUUUGCCAAAUGAUGAUUUUUUGAUGUUCCAUGAGCUGCUUUCACAAAUCUGAAAUGAGUGAAGGAGGAAAUUAUAAAGUUUCAUAGAUUUUUCAUAAAAAAAACCACAUAACUAAAAAAAUAUAUAUAUAUCUAAUCUAAAAUGAUAUUAAGUAUUAACAUGCACAUAUCAUUUUGUCAUA